GAUUAUGACGUACUUGUACUGAUUGAGAUUUUAACACGAAGUGAGUGGCGAACGGGUGAGUAACACGUGGGUAACCUGCCCAGAAGUAGGGGAUAACACCUGGAAACAGAUGCUAAUACCGUAUAACAGAGAAAACCGCAUGGUUUUCUUUUAAAAGAUGGCUCUGCUAUCACUUCUGGAUGGACCCGCGGCGUAUUAGCUAGUUGGUGAGGUAAAGGCUCACCAAGGCAGUGAUACGUAGCCGACCUGAGAGGGUAAUCGGCCACAUUGGGACUGAGACACGGCCCAGACUCCUACGGGAGGCAGCAGUAGGGAAUCUUCCACAAUGGACGCAAGUCUGAUGGAGCAACGCCGCGUGAGUGAAGAAGGGUUUCGGCUCGU
rnacentral:rRNA from 1 species